AACCAAGAAGGCUAAGUUAUACCUCACGGUAAAAAGAUAGUUAAGUUAAAUUUUAAGUUUUAUUAAUACAUCUAAAAAGGUAGAAUUUGAAUAUAUGUAUAUGAUUUAAAGAAAACUUUAGUACUGAAGCUAUGAUAACCUGGAGGGAAACUGGGAUUAGAUACCCCAUUAUUCCUGGUCAUAAAAAAACCUAAGUUUACCAGAGCACUACGAACCAAAAAGUUUAAAACUCAAAGGGCUUGGCGGUGCUUUAGACCUCUUAGGGGAACCUGUCCCAUAAUCGACAAUCCACGCUAAACCUGACUUCUUUUUGUACUCAGUAUGUAUACCAUCGUCGCCAGGUAACUUUUAAAAAUCUAGAAGUUGGCCAACAAAUUACAUGAAUUUAAACGUCAGAUCAAGGUGCAGUCAAUAAAGAAGUGAGGAUGGGUUACAAUUAUUAAAUCAUAAAUACGAAAUAAUUAAUCAAAUAAAUAAUUAUGAAGGAGGACUUAAAAGUAAACUGAAUUAUAUAAACAUAUUGAAUUAGGCUCUGAAGCGUGC
rnacentral:rRNA from 1 species